rnacentral:rRNA from 1 species
CUGCAGCUCAAGUGGUGACCACUAUUAUUGGGCCUAAAACGUUCGUAGCCGGUUUGGUAAAUGCCUGGGUAAAUCGUGUAGCUUAACUAUACGAAUUCCGGGUAGACUGCCAAACUUGAGACCGGGAGAAGCCAGAGGUACUCCUAGGGUAGAGGUGAAAUUCUGUAAUCCUAGGGGGACCACCAGUGGCGAAGGCGUCUAGCUAGAACGGGUCUGACGGUGAGGGACGAAACCCUGGGGCGCAAACCGGAUUAGAUACCCGAGUAGUCC